GUGUUAGGGGUUGUGACCAAGCCUUUGAAGACUUAGACCCUUGGGGAACACCACAGAUCCAAACUAUAGCAACAGUCAAGACAAUCUCAAAGAGAAUCUGGAAUGCAAGAAUUGGUCCUACCAGUGCCAUUUGGUGAAGUGAUAGACAUCAUCCUUCAGAUAAGAAGUGCUGGUACAAAGAAGCAACAAAUGGAAUCUCAUUCUUAAAAAUCUGCACUGCAAAAGAAACC
rnacentral:lncRNA from 1 species